rnacentral:rRNA from 1 species
UACGGAGGGUGCAAGCGUUAAUCGGAAUUACUGGGCGUAAAGCGUGCGCAGGCGGCUUUGCAAGACAGAUGUGAAAUCCCCGGGCUUAACCUGGGAACUGCAUUUGUGACUGCAUGGCUGGAGUGCGGCAGAGGGGGAUGGAAUUCCGCGUGUAGCAGUGAAAUGCGUAGAUAUGCGGAGGAACACCGAUGGCGAAGGCAAUCCCCUGGGCCUGCACUGACGCUCAUGCACGAAAGCGUGGGUAGCAAACAGG